GUCUGUUCAUUCUUUUUUGUUUUCUUUAAUGCGUGUUUUUUUUCAAAUUUCGUGAACCUUUUUUCUAAAUUGAUGAAAGUUUUAAAUUAGAUUAUUUUGUUUCAAAUUCGAUGAACUUUUUCUUAAAUUUGAUGAACUUUUUUCCUAAUUCGUGGUAUUUAAAAAAAAUUGUUUUCUCCAAAAAAUCACUUUUUUUUUUCUGAAAUGCGUGUCCAAGAAAUAGCACGGCUACGUUUUGAACAUUUGGCGCUGUAAUCAAUCAUUCACUAGCUCCCUGUAGCGUGGUAAGGCACUGUGCACUGUAACUAAUCGGUGCGGCCGAGCAGGCCUUCUCGAAUGCCGGCCCAGAUUAUAGGUAGCGCAGACCAGAAGGCGGAAAACCGACGGUACGUCUUCGCACGGUGCCGUGCUCUCUCGUAUCCUCUUCUGUCUUCUCCAACGGUCCAAAGCGGCACGCGGCGUCCGCCGAGAUCCGCGAGGGCGCGGCCCGCGGCCGGAGAGGGUCUGGGCGUGUUCCGGCUACAGGCGAGCGGCGCGUGGGGGUAUCGGGUGGUGGGGCGGAUGCGCACGGACACGCACCCUGGGUGGUGAGGCGGAUGCGCGCGAACGCGCACCUCGACGACGACGACCGCAGGCGCUCUUCGACUCGGCGCCGGCAAGAUCGACGGGAUCAAGAGCCUCCUCACCGCCCUCGUCGAAAGCAGGUGGUCAAGAGAAAACGUGGCGGCGCGGUGGCCGGAGAUGAAGAAGCUCGUCUUGCUUCGCGGCUAACUACUAGGAUGCAUAGUAAGAAAAUACGUAAUGAAUCUGACUAGAGAUGUUAGAGGAUAAGUGGCUGAUAUGAUUGAUACAACAGGAACUAUUGCCAAAGGAGCUAAGCUGCUGCUGCAUCAAGGAGCAAGAGAAGUUUAUGCAUGCUGUUUUUGGCCAUCGAGAGAUUAUAAAUUGGGUUGUUUCAAGAAGUAAUCAUGACGAAAUCACGAACACUAUCCCGUCAAAGACGCAUUGAAGACUUUGCUGAGCGAGGCAAG